GUUGGGAUCUAAAAAAGUGGCAAGUAGAAAUUCCUUCUUAAAGAAAAGGUGAGUUAAAAAUGACAUUUUUAACCGGAUUCUAAAGCCUGACGAGCUCAAAUUGUGUUUUGGACUAAGCAAACCACCUUGUUCUCCCAAACCCCUUCAAUUUUGCCAGUGUUCCCAGAGCAUGGGCUGUGAAAAUGGUAUCAGGAUGAAGAGAUGAGGUAAGACAGCCCCCAUGAUCCUAGGGGAGAUAGGCAUGUCCCGCAGCUGUGGCUGUGCUCCUGCUGUGGGUCCACCAUGACAGGCACACCUGUGGAGACACAAAAGGCCUCACGUAGCCCAAAAGGUCCUCCAAUCUGGAGAGGAGCUGGGCUGUUUUCUGGCUCUGAGAUUGGGAGUGGAGUACAAAGAUGGUGGGAAAACACCUAUUCACCUUCCCACUGAAACAUAGGACCUCCCUGCCUGGGGCCUGUUUGUUGUAAAAUGGUAAAGGAGGGCCCUGACUGGGAAGAGGAGAAAUUGCAGGCCCUGCAGGCUGGGGCACAGAGCUCCCUGUUGAAUUAAAAAAAAGCACCAAGAAGGUGGUGAUAUGGCCCAGGAACCAUUCUAACAGAGCAAGCCUUGAGCUGGCAGAUGCUCGCGCACAUAAUACAGUGCCUUUCUGCUGCUGUUCAGUUACUUUGUGAAUGCCACCAGAAGUCUCAAAUAAGGAUAGCACUCAUAUACUCACCAUCCUGAGAAAAAAAACAUCUGAAGGCCUUAAUCUCCUAUUGCAAAAAAAAAAAACAAAAAAACAUUGUCUUGGCCAUCAGUACACCACCAGGCUCUGCAGUAUCUUUGCCUGCCUGGGGGUUUUGGCUUUCCAUAUGCAAAAUCAGCUCUGAUGUGGUGCAGGUGAGUUUGAGUCUGCCUCACCACUAUGGAUGUGUCACCUGCUCAAGGAACUUCAGACUGGCCCUUUUUGCUGACAUCCAAUGCACUCUGCCUUUCUUGUGUGGACACAGUGGACUGCCCCAGCUUCAGUGGAAACAGCCUGUUGUCUUGCUAUUGCUUGUGCCUUAUCUUGCUAUGCCUGUGACUCGUAACUCAUCCUUGCAGAUCAGCCCACUGAUACAUGUUCUUGAAUGGACCACCAGGGGAUGGCUGAACUUUCCUACGGUAACCUUCCCAGGACAGUCUCCUACAUGCGUGUAGCUAUAACCCUGUAAAGGUGCCAGUGGAUUCGAAAAAAAACCACUGCCGCGUGAGACUGAAAUAUGUCAUUUCAUCUAGCUGGUGAGAAAGAAAAUUGAGAAGCAACUUCAUUAUACCACUUAACAUGGUGACAGAGGGAGAACAGCUCAUGGACUCUUCGGUCUUGCAGAGAAGGGCAAAGCAAAAAUAGUGGUUGGAAGGUAGAGUCAGGGAAAAAUCAAUUUGUUCUUUCCGGGUGAGAGUGAUUGGAACAAUUUGCCAAGGGAUGUGGUGGAUUCUGGACCUGCAUUGGAGUCUUGAUUGCCAUUGUGAAAGAUACACGGCCCUGAACUCAAAAUGGGGUGUAAGUGCCGACUGAACAGUCUGACAGUCCCACUUGGCUGUGAACACCAGUGAUGUUUCAUCCAUGAUCCAGCUAAAUGAAUGUGGGUCUGGAGAUCAGUGUGUGGGUUCCCAUCUGACCACCCAUCUGGAGCAUCCGGAUUUGGCAAGUGAGCAUGCCAGCAGAACGUCUUCUGAACAGGCUGUGUCUUUUAUGGAAUGAGCUGGACUUCGUGUACAUCAUUGCUGCAAUACCUGUUCCUUGGCCAACAAAUGUGAGCAGGAAAUUUGUUAUGGAUACAAAGCAAGCAGCCUGGGAGGAAAAAUGAUGCCACUUGGAUGGAAAUUUUCAUAUAUCAGAAAAAGAUGUCUGUUGUAUAGCAAACAGGCUGUUAAGUAUGUUUGUUAUUUUUAGCCAAUAAUGCACUUCAUGAAAGAGUGCACUUGAUAAGGAACAGCCUCGGAUGUGAGGGAGACAGGACAACAGCAGGUUGUCAUUAAGGCCAAUUUGACUGGCAGCUGUAAAAGUAAAUAGCACUGCUGCUCUUGGUUAACAAGCAGCAAGUGGGGAGAUUGAACAAACUUUCAGGUCAUAAAACAAAUGUAAAGCUUAACCAACAUCAAAGUGUCAUUUGGUGUUUUAUUUGUAUUAAAAAAAAAAGGCAGGGAUUUCAUAUUUCUGCAGUUCCUGUGCAGUCUCCAUCAGACCCACCUAUGAGCAAGAAUGGUACUGUACAUAGGGAAGGUGUUUGAUUUUGAACUUCUUGUUUGUGUGGGUUCCACCUCUUCUAUAAAUUCAGGAGCUUCAGGGAGCUGGGGCCACAAACAUAUUGCUCAAGCAAAGAGCUGCAGUAAUUAGAUCACCCCUCAGUCAGGCACCGUGGCCCCAUUAGAAGCUUCAUUCCAUUAGAAGGCAAUGCAAGAACUACUGUCAGUCCCAUUGCCUAAUUAGCACAUUAGUGGAACCGGGAUGAUGAUAAUAGGAAAGAAAGAAAAACAUUUAAAGCCCGAAUAUUAAAGAAAAUCACAACUCGCAUAGGGCUGUUUGUUGCUUGUAGAUGAUUCCAGUGUCACCCAUGCCCCCAAACCUGGGCUGGUGCGGGUCACAGGCUGUUUGCUCUUCUCCUCUGAUCAGGGAUGAACUUGAGCUUACAGUUUUCACAUUUGCUCAUUCUAAUUGUGAACAGAAAUUCCAUACAAUCUCCUUAUUGCAAUGGAAGAAUAAAAUAAAGCUCAUUUUUUAAACA
rnacentral:lncRNA from 1 species